GCAUCAGUGGUUUAGUGGUAAAAUCCAUCGUUGCCAUCGAUGGGCCCCGUGUUCGAUUCACGGCUAAUGCA
rnacentral:tRNA from 2 species